rnacentral:misc_RNA from 1 species
AACUCUACUCAAGGUCCAUGGUGGGGAAACAACUCAACCGAAGGUCCAUGGUGGGGAAACAACUCAACCGAAGGUCCAUGGUGGGGAAACACCACUACUCAAGGCCCAUGGUGGGGAAA